rnacentral:rRNA from 1 species
UAGGGAAUCUUCGGCAAUGGACGAAAGUCUGACCGAGCAACGCCGCGUGAGUGAAGAAGGUUUUCGGAUCGUAAAACUCUGUUGGUAGAGAAGAACGUUGGUGAGAGUGGAAAGCUCAUCAAGUGACGGUAACUACCCAGAAAGGGACGGCUAACUACGUGCCAGCAGCCGCGGUAAUACGUAGGUCCCGAGCGUUGUCCGGAUUUAUUGGGCGUAAAGCGAGCGCAGGUGGUUUAUUAAGUCCUGGU